rnacentral:rRNA from 1 species
CCUACGGGUGGCUGCAGUGGGGAAUAUUGGACAAUGGGGGCAACCCUGAUCCAGCCAUGCCGCGUGUGUGAAGAAGGCCCUCGGGUUGUAAAGCACUUUCAGUGAGGAAGAACGCCUGGUGGUUAAUACCCAUCAGGAAAGACAUCACUCACAGAAGAAGCACCGGCUAACUCCGUGCCAGCAGCCGCGGUAAUACGGAGGGUGCGAGCGUUAAUCGGAAUUACUGGGCGUAAAGCGCGCGUAGGUGGCUUGAUAAGCCGGUUGUGAAAGCCCCGGGCUCAACCUGGGAACGGCAUCCGGAACUGUCAAGCUAGAGUGCAGGAGAGGAAGGUAGAAUUCCCGGUGUAGCGGUGAAAUGCGUAGAGAUCGGGAGGAAUACCAGUGGCGAAGGCGGCCUUCUGGACUGACACUGACACUGAGGUGCGAAAGCGUGGGUAGCAAACAGGAUUAGACACCCUGGUAGUC